CAUUUGGUGAAUUCUGCUUCACGAUGAUAGGAAGAGCUGACACUGAAGGAUCAAAAAGUGACGUUGCUGUGAACGCUUGGCCACCACAAGCAAGUUAUCCCUGUGGUAACUUUUCUGACACCUCCUGCUUAAAACCCAAAAAGCCAGAAAGAUCAUGAGGCCCCGCUUUCACGGUCUGAGAUGGGAAGAGCAA